AUUGAACGCCGGCGGCAUGCCUUACACAUGCAAGUCGAACGGUAACAGGUCUUCGGAUGCUGACGAGUGGCGAACGGGUGAGUAAUACAUCGGAACGUGCCCGAUCGUGGGGGAUAACGAAGCGAAAGCUUUGCUAAUACCGCAUAAGAUCUCCGGAUGAAAGCAGGGGACCGCAAGGCCUUGCGCGAACGGCCCGGCCGAUGGGAGAUUAGGUAGUUGGUGGGAUAAAAGCUUACCAAGCCGACGAUCUGUAGCUGGUCUGAGAGGACGACCAGCCACACUGGGACUGAGACACGGCCCAGACUCCUACGGGAGGCAGCAGUGGGGAAUUUUGGACAAUGGGCGAAAGCCUGAUCCAGCCAUGCCGCGUGCAGGAUGAAGGCCUUCGGGUUGUAAACUGCUUUUGUACGGAACGAAAAGACUCUUUCUAAUAAAGAGGGUCCAUGACGGUACCGUAAGAAUAAGCACCGGCUAACUACGUGCCAGCAGCCGCCGUAACAC
rnacentral:rRNA from 1 species